GCCCGGCUAGCUCAAUCGGUAGAGCGUGAGACUCUUAAUCUCAAGGUUGUGGGUUCGAGACCCACGUCGGGCU
rnacentral:tRNA from 2 species